GUAGGGAAUCUUUCCACAAUGGACGCAAGUCUGAUGGAGCAACGCCGCGUGAGUGAAGAAGGGUUUCGGCUCGUAAAGCUCUGUUGUUGAAGAAGAACGUGGGUAAGAGUAACUGUUUACCCAGUGACGGUAUUUAACCAGAAAGCCACGGCUAACUACGUGCCAG
rnacentral:rRNA from 1 species